UACGAAGGGGGCUAGCGUUGCUCGGAAUGACUGGGCGUAAAGGGCGCGUAGGCGGUUUGCUAAGUUGAAUGUGAAAACUCUGGGCUUAACCCAGAGCCUGCAUUCAAUACUGGUAGGCUAGAGUUCUGGAGGGGAUAGCGGAAUUCCUGGUGUAGCGGUGAAAUGCGUAGAUAUCAGGAGGAGCACCGGUGGCGAAGGCGGCUAUCUGGACAGAGUCUGACGCUGAGGCGCGAAAGCUAGGGGAGCAAACAGG
rnacentral:rRNA from 1 species